UACGUAGGGUGCAAGCGUUUGUCCGGAAUUAUUGGGCGUAAAGAGCUCGUAGGCGGUCUGUCACGUCGGCUGUGAAAUCCCGAGGCUCAACCUCGGGUCUGCAGUCGAUACGGGCAAACUAGAGUAUUGCAGGGGGAGACUGGAAUUCCUGGUGUAGCGGUGAAAUGCGCAGAUAUCAGGAGGAACACCGGUGGCGAAGGCGGGUCUCUGGGCAAUAACUGACGCUGAGGAGCGAAAGCGUGGGGAGCGAACAGG
rnacentral:rRNA from 1 species